GAUGAACGCUGGCGGCGUGCCUAAUACAUGCAAGUCGAGCGAACGGACGAGAAGCUUGCUUCUCUGAUGUUAGCGGCGGACGGGUGAGUAACACGUGGAUAACCUACCUAUAAGACUGGGAUAACUUCGGGAAACCGUAGCUAAUACCGGAUAAUAUUUUGAACCGCAUGGUUCAAAAGUGAAAGACGGUCUUGCUGUCACUUAUAGAUGGAUCCGCGCUGCAUUAGCUAGUUGGUAAGGUAACGGCUUACCAGGGCAGCGAUGCAUAGCCGACCUGAGAGGGUGAUCGGCCACACUGGAACUGAGACACGGUCCAGACUCCUACGGGAGGCAGCAGUAGGGAAUCUUCCGCAAUGGGCGAAAGCCUGACGGAGCAACGCCGCGUGAGUGAUGAAGGUCUUCGGAUCGUAAAACUCUGUUAUUAGGGAAGAACAUAUGUGUAAGUAACUGUGCACAUCUUGACGGUACCUAAUCAGAAAGCCACGGCUAACUACGUG
rnacentral:rRNA from 1 species